AACGAACGCUGGCGGCAGGCUUAACACAUGCAAGUCGAACGGGUGCAGCAAUGCAUCAGUGGCAGACGGGUGAGUAACACGUGGGAACCUUCCUAGGGGUACGGAACAACUCAGGGAAACUUGAGCUAAUACCGUAUACGUCCGUGAGGAGAAAGAUUUAUCGCCCUUAGACGGGCCCGCGUCGGAUUAGCUAGUUGGUGGGGUAACGGCCUACCAAGGCGACGAUCCGUAGCUGAUCUUAGAGGAUGAUCAGUCACACUGGGACUGAGAAACGGCCCAGACUCCUACGGGAGGCAGCAGUGGGGAAUCUUGGACAAUGGGCGCAAGCCUGAUCCAGCCAUGCCGCGUGAGUUGAGAAGGUCUUCGGAUUGUAAAGCUCUUUUGCCAGGGACGAUAAUGACGGUACCUGGAGAAUAAGCCCCGGCAAACUUCGUGCCAGCCGCCGCCGUAA
rnacentral:rRNA from 1 species